CAGUUCAUGCACGAGAUGGCGCCAUCCAAGCCCGCCGCCGCCUUGCUCCUCGCCUUGGCCGUCCUGCUCGCGGCCGCGCAGCCGUUGUCCGCCAUCAGAGUCAAGCCCGCCUGCGCCCCGGUCGUUAAGCCAUCGCCGCCUCCUCCCGUAGCUUCCCCACCGCCGCCGCCGACCCCGGUGAUCAGCAACCCACCCCCAUCCGUCCCUGCUUCCCCAGCGCCACCGAGCCCAGUGAUCAGCAGCCCACCGCCAUCCGUCCCUGCUUCCCCGCCGCCACCGAGCCCAGUGAUCACCAACCCAACCCCAUCCGUCCCUGCUUCACCACCACCGGUCACCCCACCACCAGCCACGGUCUCGCCGCCGUCGCAGCCGACGGAGUGCCUCACGCCGUUGAUGGGGCUGACGCCAUGCAUGGGCUACCUCACCAACACCAGCGUGGCGACGCCCCCGGCCGCGUGCUGCGGCGCCUUCAAGUCUCUGGUGGACAUCGCCCCUAUCUGCCUCUGCCACGGCCUGAACGGGGACAUCAACAAGAUCAUGCCCGCGCCCAUGGACUUCAUGCGCAUGAUGUCCCUCCCGGGAAACUGCGCCGUCCCGCUGCCAAUGCAGACGCUUGCCCAGUGCGCCACGGCACCUGUGCCACCACUGGACCCUCCUACCACCCCAGCAGCCCCAUCUCCAAGAAAGAAGGCGGGGGCGCAUGGGGAGGUAGGCGUCGGCCGCUGCAGGAGCGAUUUGACUGCUGAAAAUGGUGCUGGUGGUGAAGCAGCACCGCUGCACGCACUCGGCGUCCUGCUCCUGCACCAAGGGCCACCUCAGCGAGGACGCGCUGUUCCUCGUCUUCCGCCACAUGAACUGGAACCCCAGGCUGAUCGCCAACCUCUCCUGCGUCUGCAAGUGGUUCGACGAGGUCGCCAAGCAGGUGCUGUGGAAGGAGUUCUGCCAUGCCAGGGCGCCCAAGAUGAUGCUGGAUCUGCAUUCCGACGGCAGCCACAUUGUCGACGGCAACUGGAAGGCGCUCGGGAAGCUGCUCAUCUACUGCAAUGGCUGCACCAAGGGGGGCUUGUUUGGAAACAUUCAUGUCCCUGGGCACUUUGUUUUCAGGACGCGCUUUUCAAGGACCGCAGGCAAGAGCUUCCUGCCUCUGCAGUGUAGGAUGGAUGUCUUGUAUGUGUCCGAUCCAUGCGAACAUCUUGAUCAGGGGGAAGAAGGUGACUUGGGUUUUUUCCGUGGCAUCUUCAAGUCGUUUGCUACUUCAAGGGUCAAAAAGAUCCUGAUUGAGAAGCAGGCUAGGUUCCAUCAAACGGAGGUUUGCCCCUAUUGCAAGGCUAAGCUAUGGAACAUGCUGCACGCAGAUAUGAUGCCUGCUAGUGCUUCCGCCAGGCUGGGUGCUUACGAUGAUUCCGUGGAGUACUUUGUAUGCCUGAAUGGACAUGUUAUUGGUUUGGGUACCCUGCUACCUCUCUCGGAUUCUGAGGAGGCACCAGAGGAAUAAUCAUCAGGAACAUUGAUCAGGUUGCAAGAUGGAGUCCUGGGGCUUGUGGCCUAUUGCUGCUGAAUCUUGGUUGUGUCUAACGGCGAGAAGUCAUGGGCGCGCAAAACUGCAAGGCGAGAAGAACGUGCAGCUAGCUUUCAUCUAACUGCAGUGUUGUCUGAUGAAAAUGCUAUUUCUCUGUGCUCUUGUCUGUUGAUUGAUUCCAUGUUACCUGUUCUCGUCAUUGUAAUGACCAUGCCGACCUUUGGUCUUGUCCUACAUGUGCAGAGCAUAUGUAGCAAGGCGUGAUGAGACCGAGUUGUAAAAUUGGUGCCUAUAUUGGACCUCAUAUAUUCAUGUGCUGUUCCUACCUGCA